rnacentral:lncRNA from 1 species
CACUGACGGACCAGGGAGGGGUCCGCGCCGAGACCCGCCUCCGAACCAGGCCCCACCUCCUGAGCCAGGCCCCCGCCCCCGAUUCUGACUCCGCCCUCUCUGUCCUUCGGUGGAGACUCCGGGAAAAACCUGCCUCCCAGUCUGCCCUCUCUCCGUCUGUCUGUGCUUGUUUUUCUACGUUUAUCCCUGUCGCUUUCCCCACUUAUUCUGCAGGCAUGGCGCGCCCCCAGUGCCGGCUUGGUGCCAGGGCUGGGAGAUCCGGGGGUGAAUCGUGAGCCCGGCCCACAGCGAGCUUGCAGUCUAGAGAUCAAGGCAGUCUUGUCCACAACCUGCUGUCACAUAAAGCAAAUGUAGCUGGUGUAGCACCAGGGGCUGCAAUCAAGUGCGGUGGGGCGGCAAUAGUGACCACGGAAAUAAUCAGAAUUGCUUUUAAUUCAGCUCCUACUAUAUUCCCGCAUCCCUGAGCCUCACAAUCAUCCUCCAAGGGGACACUCUUUAGGAGCCUGGCGGUGUCACUGACCCACAAGGAAAGGAGCGUUACCAUCAGUGUCGGAAUGGAUGACAUCAACAAACUGCGCAUCACUGGGAUCUAAUCUGUCUUGGAAAUGUUAAGGAAAUGAUACAGGCUUCCUAUAUCUUUUUCCUUAAAAACGACUCUAUGGACUUAAGUUCACCGAAGGAAGUGGAAUGAUGACAUGCAAAAUGACAACACAACUAAUUCUAUUUUUUAAGCAGUUAAGAAAACCAGUUUGUAAAUAACCUACCU